rnacentral:misc_RNA from 1 species
CAGGCUUGCUCGAGCAACAUUUCGGUUCUCCGGGGGCUCCUCCUUGAAGGCGUCGUCGGAGGGUCGCGUGUCGCUCGGCUCGCGUUGGGACGACGCAUGAGUGGCUUUUAGGACACGAUCCCAGAGCAGGCUCCAUGCUCCUCGCAUCGAACUGCCCUGGUCUGUCCGUCUCAUUAGUCGGUUUGCCUCGGCCCUUUCAGGGUCGGCUGCGGCUGCGCGGUGGGUUCCUGUGCUCGAUAUCCGAAUGCGGUAACGGGAUUGAUUCUCUUCCCCGUCUUGGUUCCCUCGAUCCACCGCCGUCCCCUUGGGAGCUGGUGGGGAUAUCAUGCGGGCAUCCGACGUUGUCCAUCGGGAGAGUAGACCCCCUUCGGGCGCUUCUUCUCGUGAUGGCGCGUAGGUGCUGCGGGGCAUGCUCUCGGGUACGGUGAUGUCUCUGGUUGUCCCGUCGGUCCUCGUCGGCCGUCGUGAUCUCGACGUUUCGAAGCGUUAAUGCUUCUGCUCGCGCGACUCUCGUGCCUGUCUAAGGGCUCACGGAGCUCCUCGGCUUCGUGAUCUUCUUGGGGGAGGCAUCGAGGUCUACGGAGGAAUGC